rnacentral:rRNA from 1 species
UACAGAGGUGGCAAGCGUUGUUCGGAAUUACUGGGCGUAAAGGGCGCGUAGGCGGUUCUGUAAGUCCCGCGUGAAAUCCCCCGGCUCAACUGGGGAACUGCGCGGGAAACUGUGGGGCUAGAGUUCAGGAGGAGGGGAAGCGGAAUUCCGGGGUGUAGCGGUGAAAUGCGUAAGAUAUCCGGAGGAACACCGGUGGCGAAGGCGGCUUCCUGGACUGACACUGACGCUGAGGCGCGAAAGCUAGGGGAGCAAACGGG